CUCACCUUUGUUUUCUAGUUCUGACUCAGCUAAUACAGGACUAUGCCGGUGUUCAAGUACCUCUACUGAUGAUCAUUUCCAUGGCACGUAACUGCGGUCAUAUGGAAGUAUUUCAUCAGUUGAAAAGGUGUAUUAAUGUAAUGCCUUAGACCCUCAUUGAAAAUUCAUCAUUCGUGUCCUCCUGCUGAGAAGAAAAUAAAGAGGUGGUAUAGAUUUCAACCUUCAGUUUGGAAGAGAAAAGAAAUAAGGAUAUGAGACCUGAAGACCUGCAAGUGGAAAGCAGGCAGGGGAAUGUGAUGGAGCGAUGUUGACAGCAAGGCCUGUCCCUGCUGCCCCAGCUUUUUAAGAGCCUUCUGGCAACUGAGAUUUUGGUUUCAUGUCCUUUUGCCACUGGACCUAGCCUUGCCUCCACAUGAUAUCCCGGGAGUCGUGUUCCCAGCUGUUGCACCCUUCUUUUCUUGAUUAACCUCUGGGCAGCAGACAGUGAAAAUGGCACAGAAUGUAUUUGCUAAAUGAAUGUGAAAAAAAUCUGUCAGGCUGAUGGCUUUCUUGGCACAGUACCCCUCAGUAGCAGUACAUCAGCAGAGAGGAUGGCUAGGCUUUAAAAUGGCUGAGUUCUCUAGUCUGUUCUCUCUGCCAGUGCUGUGCUGGUGGGAUUGAGCUGAGAGUCUGUGUAGGAGUCAGGACAUUUCAGACUCCUACUCUCUCACAUGUCUUGACACACUUUUAUUGUACCCUGACAGCUGCUUUCAUGAUAUGUUAUCUGUCACAAUGUCUUGUACUUUUUAUACUUUUUUACUAUAUUGCUUUUAUACUACAGGAUCUGACCACAAAUGUUCUCUCUUUGGUUUUGCCACUCUUAGCUGCAGUGCAAAGUGGUUGGGUCUAGGGAAAGGUCAUUUUUGGGACUCGGAUCCUGUAACACCAUUCUGCCUCAUAGGCUUCAUAAGGUGAUGGAGAAACUGUGCUAAUAGGCACUUGGUACCCUACUGCACUGCCAAGGUUUCCCUGGCACUGCUCUGCCCAGUUUCAGGUGUGGUGCUUAAAGGAAGGCAUUGACAUGUUAAGGAGGGCACAGGCAGAGGAGAUCCAGGCCAGGAGUGAGCAUUGGUGAUGAUCACCUCUCUGGCAGACAUGAUCAGUUAAAUGAAGUGCAGGAGCUCAGAGGACAUGGUCUUUCUGUAUGUAUUGAUGGCUGCAAAAAACAAUCACACAUUUUCUGGCUGCAGGACAAGGUGUAAUGGGAUGAAACCUGUGGCAAGGACCAUUCAGACUAGGUGGUAAGAAAAAAUUUUCUGCUGGCAAAAUGAGGGAGUGUUAGAUUGGUGAGGUUGGCCAGAUGUAGUGGGUUGACCUUGACUGGAUGCCAGAUGCCCACUAAGCUGCUCUGUCACUCCCCUCCUCAACUGGACAAGGGAGAGAAAACAAAACAAAAAGCUCAUGGGUCAGGAUAAGGACAGGGAGAUCACUCAGCAGUUACCAUCAGGGCAAAACAGACAACUUUGGGAAAUCAGUUUAAUUUAUUACAAUCCAAAUUAGAGUAGAAUAAUGAGAAAUAAACCCAAAACUUAAAAACACCUUUCCCCCAACCCUCUCUUCUUCCUGGACCUAACUUUACUCCAGCCCAGAUAUCUCCCCCUCCUCCCCUUGAGCAGCGCAGGCGGAUGGGGAAUGGGGGCUGUGGUCAGUCCAUCACACAUUGUCUCUGCUGCUCCUUCCUCCUCAGGUGGAAGACUCCUUACACUCUUCCCCUGCUCUAGCAUGGAGUCCCCCCCUUCAGCAGACAGGCCUCCGUGAACCUCUCCAACACGGGUCCUUCCCACAGGCUGCAGUUCUUUACCCACUGCUCUAGUGUGGGUCCUUUCCACAGUGUGCAGCAUGGGUCCUUUC